GGGAAAGAGGGAUAGAAAGAGAAAAAGAAAAGUAUCAUCGAUUUUCUUUUACUCCAUUGGUCGCUUUUAUUUAAAUGUCUAGAAUCGUUGACGACGUGUGUUACAUGCUUUUCUUUUUUCAACAACUUAGAGUCAUAGCCUGGACCGAUUUUCCGUAGUACAUAUAUUACUUGUGUAAUUACUGGGCGCCAUUUGUAGAUAGGUACUGGCGAUAAUAUCUUUCAGAUGGUAAGUGCCGCAAUGCUACACGCGGGAGAUGCUGGUGGCAACGAGGACGCAAUCUGAUCCGGGGUCUUCACGGUAUCCCCCUCAUGUAGGUGAUCACUAACGCCGCUUCCUCUCUCUCUGUCAAGAGAACUUGUGAUUUUCAUUGCUUUUUGAUGAAAAUUGACCAUCAUUAUUCAGACUUGUGAGAGAAAAAAUAUUUGAAGAUAAAGAGUUACCUCUCUUGGAUUUUUUUUCUUCUGUUGGAGACUUCUUUGACUCACGGGGGCUGGGAAUGUACCCUGUGUGUCACCGGUCGGCGGAGGAGAAAAUUUUGUUUAUUUGAUUAUUGAAUAAAGACUACAUCAUCGAAGUAGACAGAACGGAGUUUUGUUCCGUCAGCUGUUGACAUGACGGAGCAAAUUAUUACCUUGACAGACGAACAAAUAGCAGAGUUCAAAGAAGCCUUUUCAUUAUUUGACAAAGACGGCGAUGGAACCAUCACGACCAGUGAACUGGGUACUGUCAUGCGCAGUUUGGGUCAAAAUCCAACCGAGGCAGAGCUGCAGGAUAUGAUCAAUGAAGUUGACGCAGAUGGAAAUGGCACGAUAGACUUCGAAGAAUUCCUCCUUAUGAUGGCAAGGAAAAUGAAAGAUACAGAUAGUGAGGAAGAACUUCGGGAAGCCUUCAGAGUGUUCGAUAAGGACGGUAACGGUUUUAUUAGUGCUGCCGAACUUCGUCAUGUCAUGACCAACCUAGGGGAAAAACUGACAGAUGAAGAGGUGGACGAAAUGAUUCGAGAGGCGGAUCUCGACGGGGACGGAAUGGUCAACUAUGAAGAUUUCCGGACGUAUGCUUCCGGUUUGUUUUCCAAUCAGUCAAAAUGACGUAUCCUUUGGCCACCAUUCCUCUCCCUUUUAUCAUGACGUCAUCAGAUGCUAUAUCUGCUUAGGCGAACGGAUAUCUUAACUUGGUUCAAGCACACUAACAAUUGACCAGCACGCGCAUGCUUAUGGGUCAAAACAACGCACUGGACUGUUGUCUGCAAGAAAUGCCAGUUAUUUUUCUUUUACUCAAAUUCAACUUUAGAAUUUGUUUUCAAGUUGAAAUGGAAAUUGUAUUACUGAAAUUCGUCACGAUGAUGACUGCUAAGUAAGCUGUUGAUCUGCUAUGGAGAGACAUUUGGGCAUAUUUUGUAACGUUUACUACAAAAUAUACCUUGAAAUUCGCAAAGAUGAAGCCGAGCACAUUUUCUGUAAUUUGUUUUGUUCAAUCUUCAGUGUUGUACCAAUGUUUAUUUUUUGUUUGAAACGUAUUUGAUUUGUCUUCUUUGUACAUCCUGGUAUCGACUUGCAUAAACAAUAAAUAUACGCAUAAAUCUUGA